rnacentral:rRNA from 1 species
CAUGUAGGCGGCUUAAUAAGUCGAGCGUGAAAAUGCGGGGCUCAACCCCGUAUGGCGCUGGAAACUGUUAGGCUUGAGUGCAGGAGAGGAAAGGGGAAUUCCCAGUGUAGCGGUGAAAUGCGUAGAUAUUGGGGGGAACGACCAGUGGCGAAGGCGCCUUUCUGGACUGUGUCUGACGCUGAGAUGCGAAAGCCAGGGUAGCGAACG